CAAUGAGCCUAGAGAAGAAUGAUGUCAACUCUCUCAUGGCUAUGUCACGUCCAUUGUCCGGAGAGGACAUAAUUCCAGUAGCUGAAUCCCUGACGUUACACCCAACAUGACCAUAGAUGACCUGCAGGAACGGUCAUUGGAGUCCAUUGACUGGGUGGUCAUUGUAGUUAAUGAGGUGGUUCUCCCGGCCAUAGCCUUGUACCAGAAGUCCAUAGACGACUUCUGCAUUGGGCAAGAUGAACGACCUCCCUCAUCAGUGUCCCUUGGGGAAUCUGUUACCUCUGGUAACACCAGCACUAGCCAGGGAUGUGCAGAUACGGAUAUUGUAUGUUUCACUCCUAGGUUCAGGAGGGGAAGCCCAGGGUUGCCUCCCCCCUCCUCCCAGGGGUCAGGUAAAAAACGGAUCGUGGGGGUUCUUAGGAUAAUUGCUAAAAAGUUCCACCUGCUGCUGAAGCUUAACUUGGAGCCUAGGUGUAGGCUUAUGGGCCGGCAUCUCCCAACGCUCCCCUCAGACAUGGAGGAUGAGCUCCAGAAUAGGGCAGCUAUGACUGUGGCUGUGAUUCUGCACAAUGUCCAGCUCUUCAUGGAGAGUGAUGAAGCUGGACCAUCCUCCCCUGGGGCUUUGUCCCUUCAAGGCCUUUACACCUCUGUCACUGAUUACUUGGUGUCCAGAAUGUCUAUGAUAUCCUCCAUGAUGUUCUGGAGCGCAUGUAGGAAAGCCAAGGAGAAGCUCCACGUUCUAACAUCAGGCAGUGACUGCAGAAUUUCUGGAGCAUCAAGGUUCAACAUAUCAGAGUUGGCAGUCAACGUUUGUCGGGAGAUAAAGGAUGCAGCAAGCAAGGAUCUUCCCUUCUCUGGUGCUGUAAAUAGCUUCCCAGAGGAGAGAAUGGCAACCACGAAGAUGGGAGGUCUCAUAUUUGAGAGAGUUGAAGUCCCUGAUGCUCUUCCAAGCUUCACGCCAUCUCAAGGACGGACAGAGCAGGGAUGGAUGGUUGAGCACAUUGGCUCAGCCCUAAGUGAGGACAACUUGGACAACAUCACAAGCACUCCGUUGUUCCAGAACAUGGACUACAGCCCGGCUACCACGCCCUCAGAGGGAAGGGCCUCAACCCUGCACACUCUACAGGACACCAUAACUCAGACAGUCAUGGACCAUGCCCUCUUCACAUCUGGAUUGGCGAGCCAAAGUGAGUUCCUUUCCAAAGAGAAGGAACUGGAGCUGGUCAGGGUGGUCAUUGGAAUUCUCAUUGACCAGACUGGUGCCCUUCACUGUGAUAAGACCUGCAUCUCUGCUGAGUCGUUGGUUGACAAAGUGAUAGUGGCCUGUAACAUUGUCAUGGUUAUCCUAAGAAAUUACUAUACAGCCCACGACACAAUUAUUAAAGAGGAUGAGGGCAUGCAGGAGCUCCUGGACCCCAACAUCGAUGGCUACCCCCUGCUGGUACAGUGCCUGAGCCACACCUUAGUGGGAGAUGUGGCCUGUGAGCUGGAGGUCAUGAGGGCUCAGCCUCAGGUCAUCCCAAUCUGGUCCACUAUUAUUGAAGCAGAGCUGGGGAGGGCUAAGGGAAGCGACUCCCAUGAAGCCUUCAGUGAGGAGUCCCUCCCUAUCAUCACGCAGAGGACUGUGGAGGUGCAGCAGGCAAGCAGCCCUGCUAAGAAAAUGGACGAUACCCAGCCUCCCAUCAGUCCCAUUUUAGCCAGGUCUGAGCUUGACAGUAACAGCAGUGGCAGAAGAAGCCAUAACUUAGACAGAGAUGCAGGCGUUACAGCCGAUAACAUCUUUGAUGUCAUUGUCAGGCUGGUCUAUGCUGACAGUAUCAGUGCAGAUGAUUGCGGGUUGUACAAUCCUGCAGCUAUGCUCCUGGGACAGAUCCUGGCCUCAAGUAGGCUUUGUAACAGGAUAUUCCGGGGUAAGAUCCAUUUAUUUUCUAAAGAGAUGAUCUGCCGGGUGUACCAGUUGCUCCUGGACACCAAGAUGGGCCGGGAGACAGCAUGCCGAAAAAGCGGGUCGGAGCCUGUUCUCAAAGAAAUGGCGGCCAACCCCAGGCUCUCCAAAAAGUUCUUCACGGACCUGAUCUAUUUUAUUGUAGAGCGGGCAAUGAAGAAUCUGGUGGAAAACUUAUUGGGCUUGCCACACACCCCACCAGAAGAAGCACUACAGUUGAAUGACAACUUGGCAACCUCAUCCAGUGAUGAGUCACUGCAUAGCGACAACACCUGGUCGUGUGGGGUGUGGGGCACUCUGGUGAGGGAGAGCUCCCUGGACAUGGACUCCUCCAGCUCUUUAAACCAGGACCACUGGGAGGCAGUAGGGACCAUCUGCCAGGUCCUGAGCACCAGGGUGGAAGACAUCCUCCAGGAGACCUGCGACAACCCUAAAAAAUCCAGGGACAGCAUCCAGAAAGGAUUUGAUUCUGGGGGUAAGGCCAAGGUCCCUGACGUGACCAAUGAGGAGGGCUGUGUAGGGAGUCCCACUCCAGUGGUGGACCAACCCUCACAUCAGCUAGAGAGGAUCUUCAGCUGCUCCCUACUGUCUGGGCCCUCCAGCUCAGCCAAGGCAGCAUUGGGAGCCCCUGCCCAAAAGGUGGAGGAAGUGAGAAUUGCUUCUCCAUAUAUCCGAGAGGCCAGGCAGGACUUGCUGGAGAAAGCUCCCUCCAUCCUGCAGGAAGAGAGCCUGGCUAAGGAGGACAUUCAGCUACGCUUGGCCCACGGGGUGACUUUCAUCAACUCAGAGACCCUCAGAGACAUUGUGCAGGGGAUCAUGGGUCACCUGACAUUCAUGGAAUCACUCCCAGCUGGGAGUGUGAAGGCUCCUUUCCAGCUCCAGUCGAUGCUCUUCGACAACAUACGGCAUGUUCUGAAGUAUAUGGCCGGCAUUGUCGUUGUAUUCAGCCAACAGGAGAGCAUUCAGUUUAGGGGUGAUGAUGCAGUGGCCGCCAUUGUGGAGGCUUCUGCUGAUAGACUAUCACUAGAGGCAGAGGCAAACAGUGCCCAAAUGCACAAAAGUUGUGAGAUUGCCAUUCAAUGCAUGGCUGAGACCAUCGCAUGCAGCAUUUGUGAUCACGCUGAGCUCUGGAAGUGGGAGGCCAGGAGCUCUGGAAGUGGGAGGUAUACCCCCAGCCUCGAGGGAAGUGACAGCACUGUCUCUGAGGAGCUCCUAGACAAUAGGGAAGACCUGGAGGCUCCAGCAGAGAUGGCUGAAGAUGACACUGGCUCAGAGAAGACCAGUGUCAGAUCAGAGAUCUUUGAAGACGAUGCUUGCUCAGAGAAAACCAGUGUCAGAUCAGAGGUCUUUAAAGACUACUGUGGUUUGGAGACAGACCAUCACAUGGCCGACCAGUCACUGGAGACCAACCAGUGUCUACUCAGGGCUGGACAGAGUGCCUUCUCACAGAAGGUGAAAGAAGAGGCUAUGGAGACAGGACCCGAGACAACAGGAAAGGGGAAAAAUGAAAAGAAGGUGAAGGGCUUUAUUUGACUCUUAUUUUCUUGGGGAAUAUUAAGCCCACAUGUAAUGUAACAGGCGAGUGUCAUUUACAUUGUUUGGUUUGUUUUAUUCACAGAAAUCCUCUAAGAACAAAGGAGAAAUAGAGGGAAAGAAACCAUGUAAGAGCAAAGUGGCUCCCCUUGGCUCUGAUGGUAAGAGCCAUAAUAUUGUUUUCUGUCAAAAUAUCCAUCUGAAGGGCCUCCCGGGUGGCGUAGUGGUUAAGGGCACUGUACUGCAGCACCAGCUGUGCCACCAGAGACUCUGGGUUCGUGCCCAAGCUCUGUCAUAACCGGCCGCGACCGGGAGGUCUGUGGGGCGAUGCACAAUUGGCCUAGCGUCGCCUGGGUUAGGGAGGGUUUGGCCGGUAGGGAUAUCCUUGUCUCAUCGCGCACCAGCGACUCCUGUGGCGGGCUGGGCGCAGUGCGUGCUAACCAAGGUUGCCAGGUGCACAGUGUUUCCUCCAACACAUUGGUGCGGCUGGCUUCCGGGUUGGAUGCGUGCUGUGUUAAGAAGCAGUGCGGCUUGGUUGGGUUGUGUAUUGGAGGAAGCAUGACUUUCAACCUUCGUCUCUCCCGAGCCCAUACGGGAGUUGAAGCAAUGAGACAAGAUAGUAGCUACUAAAAAAACUAUUGGAUACCACAAAAUUGGGGAGAAGAAAAAAAAACUAUCCAUGAGGCUAUUUUCCUAAAUAAAUACUAUUGUAAUGUGGUGAUUAGGUCAUGUGAUGUAUCCUGUAAUCUGUUCAGGUGCAGUGGCUGCAGAUGAGAAAAGGAAGAAACCAUCUCUCCUCCAGCACAUCUGCAAUGCCUUUGCAAGGGUCUUUUGCUUCUCCCACAAGAAAAAUAGUAGAUUAUUUCCCUCUAAUGGAGUGAGAGCUGUGCCUGCACGACUUUUUAAGGCAGCACCUCAACUCCUGUUACCAGUCCCUCUGCUUACAGUCCUACAAUAAAACAUAUGUUUGCAAUCAUCUUGUGUUGUUUUUAGCUCCUUAUCAACUGUUAAUUUAAGUGUAGUUCAACUCUUUUACUAUUCCUGUGGUAAUGAAACAACACAUUUCAACACUGUAAAACAACACAUUUCACAGCAUCUUUACAGUUUGUGAUAAUAACAUAUAUAUAACAUAUAUUAUUUUUGUUAUCCUUGUUGAUGUAAUUUGAGUAGAAAUCAAUAGUUGUGUUGUGCUGCUGUGAGCCUGUGAAGGCAAACUGUGAAUGACAGGUAGGCAGAGUGGAUGUUGGUGUUACAUCAGGGAAAGAAACAUUGGCUCAGCUGACACAUGGAACACAGCCUCAGCCUCCAGGCCCUGUUGCCUUGCCAACCCCAUCCAGUACUGAUACAGAGGGGGUUAUGUAUAAAACCUGGCUGCGCCAACGGAAAUAUAGGUUAGAGGAGAGUGGGGUAAAUUGAGCCAAAGGGUUAGUUGAGCCACCCCUAGAUGAGCUGUGGGGGCUAAUAUAGUAUAAAUGUUUGUCUUGGGGUAAGCUGAGCCAAUGGCCACCAUAUCCCGUACAAAUGAUUACAUUUUGUCAGUUUUAUUUAUAAUAUGCAAAGUAUUUUUGCAAUGCAUCACGCAUAUGAACUCAAGAUUUAUAUUGUUUCAGAGCAGACAUCAUUCCCUG
rnacentral:lncRNA from 1 species